UACGUAGGGUGCGAGCGUUGUCCGGAAUUACUGGGCGUAAAGAGCUCGUAGGUGGUUUGUCGCGUUGUCCGUGAAAACUCACAACUCAAUUGUGGGCGUGCGGGCGAUACGGGCAGACUGGAGUACUGCAGGGGAGACUGGAAUUCCUGGUGUAGCGGUGGAAUGCGCAGAUAUCAGGAGGAACACCGGUGGCGAAGGCGGGUCUCUGGGACGGUACUGACGCUGAGGCGCGAAAGCAUGGGGAGCAAACAGG
rnacentral:rRNA from 1 species